UGCGUAGGCGGAUUUCUAAGUCAGAGGUGAAAGCCUGGAGCUCAACUCCAGAACUGCCUUUGAUACUGGAAGUCUUGAGUAUGGCAGAGGUGAGUGGAACUGCGAGUGUAGAGGUGAAAUUCGUAGAUAUUCGCAAGAACACCAGUGGCGAAGGCGGCUCACUGGGCCAUUACUGACGCUGAGGCACGAAAGCGUGGGGAGCAAACA
rnacentral:rRNA from 1 species